rnacentral:rRNA from 1 species
GCAAAGAGCCUAAUUAUCCUAAUAAUACCAUCUGAUAUUGGAAACUAAGCAGGAUUUGGCCUGAUUAGUACUUGGAUGAGAGACUGCCAUCGAAUACCAGGUGCUGUUGGCU